UACGUAGGGUGCAAGCGUUAAUCGGAAUUACUGGGCGUAAAGCGUGCGCAGGCGGUUAUGUAAGACAGUUGUGAAAUCCCCCGGGCUCAACCUGGGAAUUGCAUCUGUGACUGCAUAGCUAGAGUACGGUAGAGGGGGAUGGAAUUCCGCGUGUAGCAGUGAAAUGCGUAGAUAUGCGGAGGAACACCGAUGGCGAAGGCAAUCCCCCUGGACCUGUACUGACGCUCAUGCACGAAAGCGUGGGGGAGCAAACAGG
rnacentral:rRNA from 1 species